UCCUCGAUAGCUCAAUGGUAGAGCAAUCGGCUGUUAACCGAUGGGUUACAGGUUCGAGUCCUGUUCGAGGAGCCA
rnacentral:tRNA from 1 species